CAUAGUUCCUAUAAAUGGGAAAAUUCUGAGGUGUAACUGAUGAAGCUACCAUUCGUGCACAGGAGCAAGAAUAUUCGGAUAGCAGCAUGGGCGCUGGUGGUGGGGAUGGCACGGUACCAACUGAGAUGCACAGCUCUGAUGCUGAUCAUGACAGCGACGCUGCAAGUACCGGAGGGGGUGGGUGGACCACCAGCUCUGGAUAUGGAUGCUUUCAAAAAUAUGAUUAGUGGUAUAGCUGAGAGAGUGCUGCAGAAGGAGAUGGCAAGGAUUGAUGCCGAGACUGACUCAAAGUUGAUGACCCUCGGCAAGGAACUGGAAUCUUCUGAGAUGCGUAGCAGAAGUCUGCGUUCUCAAAUGGACGCAGUCAUAGCUGAGGGCAACCGCAGGCGCAUGCAUAUGCUCACAGGUGAGCUCAUUCAGGCUCUGUACGAUGGUUUGCGGGAUGCAUUCCAGCCGGCUGGUGCCGGACAACCAUGGUUCUAUGGUCUGGAGCAGAAGAUGUUUGAUUUGUCUGUUGAGAAGGCUCUAUUAGGGAUAGAGCGUACAUUUGAAGUUGAGGAUCCUAACUUGUACAACUACAACUACCAUGGAACGCGUUACUCUGGGGCGCGGGCAAUGCGUGACAACAAGGGGAAAGGAGAGGCUUGGGUUCCAGUUUCAAGGACUGUUGGUUUUGCUACGCCAAAUCUGCCAAUGGAUGAAAACAGGGGUGGUGAACAUAGACAGUGGCUCAAGUUCAGCUGGGCCAGCAUUCGAUUCAUACCCGGAUAGUGCACGUCUUGCAGUAAAUCUGCCACAACAAAGGCGAUCAAGCCCAGUAACGUAUAUGGGUUCUGGUUCAGCCUUUGCUUCUGGUUCCCAGCUAGCACCUCUACCUGAUGUGCUAAUGAUGCCAGAUGGGACAAGUUAUACAACCUGUUGUCUUUGCACUCUCUCCAUUUGACUUGGGGUUGCACCACCAUGAGGUUUCCGAAGAAGUGUCACUUGCAUGCUAUGAAUCCGUGCAGCUGUGCGAAAGCUCUGAAACCGACAAGAUUUGGUUCUGUCAUGUGAUUCCAUUCUUGAUUAAAAUGUCUGGACCAAUGUUCAAAGCCAAGUAAAAUCACAAUGUGGCCUUCGAUUUAGAUGUGAUGGAGACAGCGGUUCGUUCCUUCAAUGAAAAGGAGAUAG